rnacentral:rRNA from 1 species
GAUGAACGCUGGCGGCGUGCCUAAUACAUGCAAGUCGAGCGAACAGAUGAGGAGCUUGCUCCUCUGACGUUAGCGGCGGACGGGUGAGUAACACGUGGAUAACCUACCUAUAAGACUGGGAUAACUUCGGGAAACCGGAGCUAAUACCGGAUAAUAUAUUGAACCGCAUGGUUCAAUAGUGAAAGACGGUUUUGCUGUCACUUAUAGAUGGAUCCGCGCCGCAUUAGCUAGUUGGUAAGGUAACGGCUUACCAAGGCAACGAUGCGUAGCCGACCUGAGAGGGUGAUCGGCCACACUGAAACUGGGACACGGUCCAGACUCCUACGGGAGGCAGCAGUAGGGAAUCUGCCGCAAUGGGCGAAAGCCUGACGGAGCAACGCCGCGUGAGUGAUAAAGGUCUUCGGAUCGUAAAACUCUGUUAUUAGGGAAGAACAAAUGUGUAAGUAACUAUGCACGUCUUGACGGUACCUAAGCAGAAAGCCACGGCUAACUACGU